AUUGAACGCUGGCGGCAGGCUUAACACAUGCAAGUCGAGCGGAGUGAUGGUGCUUGCACUAUCACUUAGCGGCGGACGGGUGAGUAAUGCUUAGGAAUCUGCCUAUUAGUGGGGGACAACAUCUCGAAAGGGAUGCUAAUACCGCAUACGUCCUACGGGAGAAAGCAGGGGAUCACUUGUGACCUUGCGCUAAUAGAUGAGCCUAAGUCGGAUUAGCUAGUUGGUGGGGUAAAGGCCUACCAAGGCGACGAUCUGUAGCGGGUCUGAGAGGAUGAGCCGCCACACUGGGACUGAGACACGGCCCAGACUACUACGGGAGGCAGCAGUGGGGAAUAUUGGACAAUGGGGGGAACCCUGAUCCAGCCAUGCCGCGUGUGUGAAGAAGGCCUUAUGGUUGUAAAGCACUUUAAGCGAGGAGGAGGCUCUUUUGGUUAAUACCCAAGAUGAGCGGACGUUACUCGCAGAAUAAGCACCGGCUAACUCUGUGCCAGCAGCCGCCGUAA
rnacentral:rRNA from 1 species